CAGGCAACUCUCCGGCCUCAACCUCCUGAGUAGCUGGGAUUACAGAUAAGAAUUAUUGCACCAUUUUUCAGAUGAAGAAACUGGAAAUUCAGAGGUGUUAGCUUGUCCAAGUGUAUUGUGUAGAGCCUGGAGUAUUCUACCCAGCACUGGAUACCGGAGUGGAUUUUUUUUCCCCUACUUAAUGUAAGUUUAAGGCUUUGUGCUUAUUUUUUAAAAAUCAAAACCAGGUAUUUCAUUCUUUUACUAUUGAUUCUUAUAUAUAUCUGCAUAUAGUGAGUACUAUUUAUAGAAAUACAUGUGCAAUUCAGAAAUAUGUAUUUCAUUGUUAAAAUAAAGAUUAAAGCAGAAACUUAUUUAUUAGACUCUUAAUUAAUUUUAGAGAAAAAUAAUAAUGAAUAAGUUGUACUAUGGGUUUUCAAUGGGCAGUAUCUAUUUCUGGAACCACUAACCAAUGAUUGAAUAACUAAGUCAUUAAUCCUUCAAUGUGCUUAAGCUCUUAAAUAAAUGGGCACAGAGGAUAAAUAAUUUUUUAAAAAAGUGAAAAACUAGCCACCAAAGCUUAUUUUGUUGUCCCUCAAAUUUACCUAGUAAUUAGCUGGCAUUUUUCCUAUGAUAUGUUAAAGUCAAUUAAAUAGAUGCUUUAGUCAGGAUUAAUUGUAUCACAGUAAAGUUAAAAAGGAAGAAUAUGAAUGCUUAUGUUUUUGUUUACUUGAAUGUAAAAGGAGAAUCAUUUUACCCUAACUUCUAGGAUGUUUGGAUCCAUUUAUGACAGUCUGCAAGCUUAUCUUCUUAUACAUUUUUUUGCAUAUUGUAAUGUAUGAUGGGCUUAUACCAUGACAAAGAUUGAAGAUUAAUAUUGCGCAAAGAAUACUCUCUUCCUUUGACCUAUUCAAAAAUAUCAAUGAGAAGGUUUUUGGAAAUCUUUUCUUAUUCUACACAGAAGUGAAAAUAUGCUACAGGCCUUGGCUUCAAACUCUUUUAAUUUCUUAUUUAAGUCUUACUCCUUGUUUAUAAAAAGAAGAUAACUUUAAAAUAGUGCUGUAUGAACUAAAUUUAACUAGAAAUAUAAAGCACCUUCUAUAUAAUGAAUGUACUAAAAAUAUUAAUUCAGGGUCCCCCUCUACAUACAAUAUACAUAUUCAGAAGAGAUGAUUUAAUUAUGGUCAAAAGGAAAAUUUGUGUGCUCCUGAUUUUGUUUUAAUUUUACUGUAAAUGCCUUAUUUAUACAUGAAUAUCACCUAAGAUCACGUUGUUUACAUUGGUAUUACAAUUUAUCCAUUUUAUUUCAACUCAAAUUUAUCAGCGUAGACCACUUCUCUGUAGUCUAUCAGGUGCUGAGGAGAGCUGCUUUAGAGUGAAGACUUUUAGAUUAUCUGGGACUCUUUUUUUUUUCUGUUUGGUUACUGUAAGCAGAGUUGACAACUACCACAAAAGAAAGUAUUGUUCAGAAAGCCACAGCUGGGAUUGCUGAUGAUAUUAUGAGGCCUUCAGCAAGCUGGGUUGAAAAGAGGAGGGGCUGAUAGGGCUUCUAUUCCAGAUGGAUCAGAGAGGCUCCCAGUGAGGGGAAGAGUGAGAGCUCACUGACUCCUAGGUGCGGAAAGUAGGACCUUUAAACACAGACAACUAAAACACUUCACUCCUACAUACAUAACCACAAAAAAUAAUUUCAAUAAAAGUAAGUCACUUUCUCAAGGAUAUCUUAGAAAAUGUUUCUAUUUGAUCACAUACUGAUUUUUCCAGAAGUAUUUCAAAAUUUCAUUAGAUUAUUAGGUAUGAGUAAACGUACUAAUGAUUGAAAUCCUUAAGGUUAAAUUUGAGUGAUUGUAAAGGACAUGAGACGUGAGCAUCAA
rnacentral:lncRNA from 1 species